CGUUCUCAGUUCGGAUCGGAGUCUGCAACCCGACUCCGUGAAGCUGGAUUCGCUAGUAAUCGCGCAUCAGCCAUGGCGCGGUGAAUACGUUCCCGGGCCUUGUACACACCGCCCGUCAAGCCAUGGAAGCCGGGGGCGCUUGAAGUGCGUUGCCGCAAGGCGCGCCCUAGAGCGAAACCGGUGACUGGGGCUAAGUCGUAACAAGGUAUC
rnacentral:rRNA from 1 species